rnacentral:rRNA from 1 species
AACCGAGAACUCCUAUGGGAGGCAGCAGUGGGGAAUAUUGCACAAUGGGCGAAAGCCUGAUGCAGCGACGCCGCGUGAGGGAUGAAGGCCUUCGGGUUGUAAACCUCUUUCAGUAGGGAAGAAGCGCAAGUGACGGUACCUACAGAAGAAGCACCGGCUAACUACGUGCCAGCAGCCGCGGUAAUACGUAGGGUGCGAGCGUUGUCCGGAAUUAUUGGGCGUAAAGAGCUUGUAGGCGGUUUGUCGCGUCUGCCGUGAAAAUCCGGGGCUCAACUCCGGACUUGCGGUGGGUACGGGCAGACUAGAGUGUGGUAGGGGAGACUGUAAUUCCUGGUGUAGCGGUGAAAUGCGCAGAUAUCAGGAGGAACACCGAUGGCGAAGGCAGGUCUCUGGGCCACUACUGACGCUGAGAAGCGAAAGCGUGGGGAGCGAACAGGAUUAGAAACCCCAGUAGUCCGACUGAGA